rnacentral:rRNA from 1 species
AAAACUCAAAGGCGUAAUGAAAGUAAAUAGUGGAAUACUGAUUUUAUUGAAUUUAUUCUUUAUUAUCGGUUUCCCUAUAGGGAGGAUGGAAUACUUUUUCAGUAAUUAUUAGUUUACUAAUUUAUUAUUGUUUUUAAGUUUCCCGCACUCCCGGGGCGCUUGUUUCUCGCUUUGCGAGUCAGUGCGCACCUAGAGCGUACACGAUGAUACCCGAAAGAUGGUGAACUAUGCCUGGCCAGGACGAAGCCAGGGGAAACCCUGGUGGAGGUCCGCAGCGAUUCUGACGUGCAAAUCGAUCGUCGGAGCUGGGUAUAGGGGCGAAAGACCAAUCGAACCAUCUAGUAGCUGGUUCCCUCUGAAGUUUCCCUCAGGAUAGCUUGCGCUCGGUUGAUAAGAGUCUCAUCCGGUAGAGCGAAUGAUUAGAGGCAUUGGGGUCGAAACGACCUCAACCUAUUCUCAAACUCCAAAUAGAUGAGACCCCCGGCUUUCUUAAAAAUGAAGCCGUGGGAAUUGGAUCAGAGUGCCAAGUGGGCCAAU